rnacentral:rRNA from 1 species
AUUGAACGCUGGCUGCAGGCCUAACACAUGCAAGUCGAGCGGAUGCAGGGUGCUUGCUUCUGUAUUCAGCGGCGGACGGGUGAGUAAUGCCUAGUAAUCUGCCUGCUAGUGGGGGUAACGUCCGGAAACGGGCGCUAAUACCGCAUACGUCCCGAGGGAGCAAGUGGGGGAUCUUCGGACCUCACGCUAUCAGAUUACCCUAGGUCGGAUUAGCUAGUUGGUGGGGUAAAGUCCUACCAAGGCGACGCUCCGUAACUGGUCUGAGAGGAUGAUCAGUCACACUGGAACUGAGACAAGGUCCAGACUACUACGGGAGGCAGCAGUGGGGAAAAUUGGACAAUGGGAGAAAGCCUGAUCCAGACAUGCCGCGUGUGUGAAGAAGGUCUUCGGAUUGUAAAGCACAUUAAGUUGGGAGGAAGGGCAGUAAGUUAAUACCUUGCUGUUUUGACGGUACCAACAGAAUAAGCACCGGCUAACUUCGUG